rnacentral:misc_RNA from 1 species
GAUGAAGAACGCAGCGAAAUGCGAUAAGUAGUGUGAAUUGCAGAAUUCAGUGAAUCAUCGAAUCUUUGAACGCAUAUUGCGCUCUCUGGUAUUCCGGAGAGCAUGCUUGUUUGAGUAUCAGUAAACACCUCAACUUCCAUAUCUUUUUUGAAAUGGGAGUUGGACUUGAGUGAUCCCAACGCUUUUCCUCACCGAAAAGUGGCGGGUUACUUGAAAUGCAGGUGCAGCUGGACUUUUCUCUGAGCUAUAAGCAUAUCUAUUUAGUCUGCCUAAAAAACAGAUUAUUACCUUUGCUGCAGCUAACAUAAAGGAGAUUAGUUCUUGUGCUGACUGAUGCAGGAUUCACAAAGACAGGCUUCGGCCGACUUUGUAAACUCGAUCUCAAAUCAAGUAAGACUACCCGCUGAACUUAAGCAUAUCAAUAAGCGGAGGA